AGGGGCUUACAAUUGCUAUAAGCCUCCAGCCUUUAGGUCUCUUGUCAGCUCUCUGAGGAUUGUGGCUGGCCUCAGGCACGGGAGUACCGAAUUGUUUCAGGCUUUGGAUGGUGGGGCAAGCCCCCUAUGUGGGUCUUUGAGAAGCACAAGUCUUCUGCAGCUGACAAGCCCCGCCGCCCACAGGUCCACACACACAGUCAACACAGUCCUGCCCCGUGUGCGUGCCCCGACCUCCUGAAGUGGACGCAGUUUCUCCAAGGCAGGAGCCCCACACACUCCACCACCAUCCCACACUCUCCACCCACUCCUUGCACACACCCUGCCCCACAGAGGUGGACCCACUCACCAGGCUGCGGAGAAUCCAGGCAGCUCACUUAGCGGGCCCACAGGUUGCCCGAGGGCUGCUUGUUGGGUGGGGCCAGUCCCUAGGGUGGGCUGCCUGCCCUGGCUGAGCUGGAUUAAGUCAGUGCUCUAGUGGGUGGGGCAGACCCUGGGCUAGCAGGCCCCAGGGAGAACUCCAAUGGCCACUGCCAGCGUCUGUGUCAGCACGCCCACACCAGGCCACAACAAUGGCCGCCACCAAAGUCCCAGUCCCUGGAGAGGUCUCACCUCUCACCGAGAUGCACUCAGAGCCUAUUAGCAGUGAUCCCGAGGGCUAGAGAUGGUGAAACCCAGGUUUGUCUGACUCCAACGCCCAUAGAAAGAGAGCAAGAUGGAGAGAUGUGCUUUCCCAUCUGUCCUGGCCCUUCCAGCUGGGCUGUUGCCUGAGCUGAGUGACCCAGUGACGAUGAGUAGACGAAUGUUGCCGAGACAACAGAAUCCCACACCCCUUUCCAGCGCUGAGGCCCUUCUCCCUCCCCCUGUCUGCCUGCUGGGAUCUCACCUGAGAAUGGGAAUGUGCUUUGGCCAAGGGCGAAGGGAUAGAUGUACGAUAGAGGAUACAAGGAGAGAGGUGAAAUCUUGGGAUGCUCUCAGAAGGGACUGGGGGAGGGACCAGAGUCACAAAGAAAGCAUUCUUCACAGCACUGAGAUCCCAGGAGACGAUGAAGACUGUGAAAGCAUAGUGGCUCUAACAUGUGGUCCUGUGAUUUUCUCCAGCAGUACACAGUGCUACAACCAUUUUCUGAAGCCAGGCUCCCUGGAUCAGGCCCUGGAAAAAGGGGCCUGUGUUGUUAAAGGAGAAAGGAGCCUGGCAUCACUCGUGGAGGGCAACGACGGCCUUGAGGAGGACCUGCUCACCUCAGUGACCACUCUCAUCAGUUACUCCACUCUGUGUGUCCGUCUGUCUGGUCCACUCUUCCUUCUGUGCUCUGUUUUGGGGGUCUGUUUAUGGGAUGUGGAACGUUGUCCUAGGUUAAAGGAGAGGACAAGGCCAGGAUGCCCCAAUCUCCUCUAACACGGACUGGUGAGACCAUGGGCAGAGGAGGAGCCGGUGGGGGUGGUGUUCCUCGGACUGCAUGAGCACUUUGGUUAAUUUAUUCUCUCUGGCCGAUCUGACCUUCAUCAUGAGUGCCCACGCUCUGGACUGGAUAGUAAGGGGUGAAAAAACCCACUGAUUUUAUGUCUACUUUCUUAAGUGUAAUCUGAUGCUGUCAUGUGAAUGGUUCAUUUGAACAAAUGCUCAGUCUGUUUUGGUGGAAAUGCUCAGUCUCUCAGAUUUCCACCCCACCUCCCUACUCCUUUCCAAGGCGGGGAAGGGGGAUGUGUGUCUUACAAGUCUCCCAGGUGAUGUGAGA